UUGUUAGAAACACUCACUAUGUUGUGCUUUCACUCACUGGUCACUUUAUUAGAAACACCGUAAAAUUGGCCACUUUAUCAGAAACACUUGCCUGGCUUCAGUGUGUAACUGGACUAUAAGGAGGGUGUUUCCGAUAAAUUGUCAUGAGCAGAAAUUCUUUGGAAAUGCAAGCUGUUGGUACACCUGUGGGAACAGACACACCUGAGCAGAGCCAGAGGGAAGUUGUUACACCAUUACCCACAAUCCCCCAGCCUUAACCACACCCCAUUACCCAGCCCACAGCCCAUAAUAACUGCACAAACAAACAGCACCUCAACACCCAGCCGUGACGUGAUGGAGAUAAGAGGUCAGCGCUGAUAAAAGCUGGAGGAGGAAGGUCCUGCAGACAGCAGGGAUAAGAGCCGAGUCUGCUGCUGCAGGUGGGAGGUCGGUGAUGAGGUCGGUCACGCUGCUGCUGGGCCUGCUCUCCGUGGUGCUCUGUGCUCCUGUAUGUAUCUCACUCUGUAUCAACACAACCCUAACCUUUAAUUACAGUGAUCUAAGCUGUAAUUAAUCACAGUGUGUUUCUGUGUUUCAGGCAGGGAGGAGGGGGCCCAGUAAUCUGAGCGUUGAGGACCUGCUGCGGGUUCUGCCGGUCCCGGUGCCCAUUCCGCCGGUACCCGUUCCGCCGGUGCCGGUUGCGCCAGUUCCGCUUCCGCCCGCACAGCCCGUCAUCUACCCUGAGAUCUACGACCCUUUCAGCUUCUUUAACCCUUACGUCCCCUACAGUCCCUACAUCCCCUUUAACUCAUACAUCCCCUUUAACCCUUACGACUCCUACCUACCGCUACCCAUCUACCCUCAACUUC